rnacentral:lncRNA from 1 species
AUGGAAAGGACUAGGCAAUAUAUUAUAUUCUCAACAUUCCGCCUCACCUCUAAGCUAUUUUAGUCCUUUGCGUGGGUUCCGUGUAGGCCGAAGAAUCUUUUUUUUAUUAGUGCAUGAGCAGGGUAUUGAACUUGAGACCUCUUGUCUCUGAUACCAUAUUCAAUUGAUGCGCUAGCCAUUUGAACCUAAAAUCCGAACUGAUGAAAAUGACUAGGCAAUAUAUUAUAUUCUCAACACCCCGCCUCACCUCUAAGCUAUUUUAGUCAUUUGCGUGGGUUCCGUGUAGGCCGAAGAAUCUUUUUUUUUAUUACUGCAUGAGCAGGGUAUUGAACUUGAGACCUCUUGACUCUGAUACCAUAUUGAAUCGAUGCGCUAGCCAUUUGAAACUAAAAUCCGAACUGAUGAAAAGGACUAGGCAAUAUAUUAUAUUCUCAACACUCCGCGUCACCUCUAAGCUAUUUUAGUCAUUUGCGUGGGUUCCGUGUAGGUCGAAGAACUUUUUUUUUAUUACUGCAUGAGCAGGGUAUUUAACUUGAGACCUUUUGGUUCUGAUACCAUAUUGAAUUGAUGCGCUAGGCAUUUGAACCAAAAGUCCGAACUGAUGGAUGGAAAUGAUUGGCCAAUAUAUUAUAAUCUCAACAGUUAAGUCUUCACUUUUUAUCCGGUUUUGAUCGAUCGUUAUCA